AGAGUUUGAUCCUGGCUCAGGAUGAACGCUGGCGGCGUGCCUAACACAUGCAAGUCGAGCGAGAAGCUCGUGACGGACGCUUCGGUUGAAGUCACGAGUGGAAAGCGGCGGACGGGUGAGUAACGCGUAGGCAACCUGCCCUUUGCAGAGGGAUAGCCUCGGGAAACCGGGAUUAAAACCUCAUAAUACCGCAGUGAGACAUCUCACGGCGGUCAAAGAUUUAUCGGCAAAGGAUGGGCCUGCGUCUGAUUAGUUAGUUGGUGGGGUAACGGCCUACCAAGGCGACGAUCAGUAGCCGACCUGAGAGGGUGAUCGGCCACAUUGGAACUGAGACACGGUCCAAACUCCUACGGGAGGCAGCAGUGGGGAAUAUUGCACAAUGGGGGAAACCCUGAUGCAGCAACGCCGCGUGAAGGAUGAAGGCCUUUGGGUCGUAAACUUCUGUUCUAAGGGAAGAUAGUGACGGUACCUUAGGAGCAAGUCCCGGCUAACUACGUGCCAGCAGCCGCGGUAAUACGUAGGGGGCAAGCGUUAUCCGGAAUUAUUGGGCGUAAAGAGUACGUAGGUGGUUUUCUAAGCACGGGGUUUAAGGCAAUGGCUUAACCAUUGUUCGCCUUGUGAACUGGAAGACUUGAGUGCAGGAGAGGAAAGCGGAAUUCCUAGUGUAGCGGUGAAAUGCGUAGAUAUUAGGAGGAACACCAGUGGCGAAGGCGGCUUUCUGGACUGUAACUGACACUGAGGUACGAAAGCGUGGGGAGCAAACAGGAUUAGAUACCCUGGUAGUCCACGCCGUAAACGAUGAGCA
rnacentral:rRNA from 1 species